rnacentral:misc_RNA from 1 species
CUCGACUCGGUGAUUAUAGAUCUCCACGAGACUGCAUUCUGUUUGGAAGAGACUGGGAGUCGAUCUCUCCCAUUACUCUCCUUCCCCAUAUUGAUGAUAGUGACAAUGGUUAUGGGAUGAGCAUUCAUGGAUAUAAAAAUGAACUGAAGGGUAUGGGCGUUGUUGUUGAAUUGAAACAUGGUUUAAAGUUUGUGGUUGCUGGCCUUCGUUUUCCUCAUAAUCCCAGAUGUAUAACUCCUAAGAAUGUGCUUUCACUACUGGAAUGCAUUCGGCUUCUAUUGCAGCAGGGACACUCAUUUGCAGAUGAUUUUCUGCAAAAGGCUUCUAAAAAAUGGAUAAAGACCCAAGCUGGUUACAGAGCUCCAGAUAAAUGUUGCUUGUUUGGUUCCGAGUGGGGUUUAUAUGUGAAGCAGACUGAUGGUCCUUUCAUUGAUGAAGAGUUUUAUGGCUUUGACAUCCAGUCCUACAAAAAAGAGCUUAGUAUAGUCGGAGUUAUUGUUGAUUCAGAAAAGGGAUGCUCAUUGCUCGCCAAUCACCUAGCUUCUCAUUCUGAAUUUCCUGCAAUUGUUCGAAUAUAUGAUUUCUUGAGUGUGUACCAGUGGAAGUCAGAGGAUGAAGCAACUGGCACAAUAUGGGUUCCAUUAGGAAGUCAAGAUGAACUUGCUAAAGGAAAAUGGGCUGAUCCAAGAGAGUGUGUUCUGUAUGACAAAGACAAUAUCUUUGGUUUGCAGUUGAAUGUUCUAGAGAAAUACUACGAUCCGAAAUUACUGAGUUUCUUUUCCAGGGCAUUUGAUGUUAAAUCCAGUCCUUCACUUGAUGAUUACUGCAAGCUUUGGAAGGCUUGGGAAAGGACAAGAAGCAAAUUGACACAUGCUGAAUGCUGUGCAUUCUGGAGGUGGGUCGUGAAGCACAGGAACUCAAAAAUGGGGGACACUCUGGCCGACGAAUUGGUAAAGCUGCCUGUUGUUUCGGGCUCUGGUGAAAUCUUAUUGUUUGACAAGCGUGGUGUUUUUAUAGCUGAUGACCUUCUUCUGAAGGACCUCUUUGAGAAGAUUUCACCCCGCCCAAUUUUUGUCUGGUAUCCUCAGCCAAGCUUGCCUUCUUUGCCCCAGAGUAAAUUGCUUGAUUUGUACAGAGCAAUUGGCGUCCGAACAAUUUCUGAAUCCGUUCAAAUGAAAGAACUCUCUUUAGAAGAUGUGGAACUUAAGCAGGCAAAUCCAAGUGACAUUUUGAUUGGAAAAGGGCUAGUUAGACUAAUUCUUGGCUUUCUAGCGGAUCCUUCUUUUAAUAUGGAAGCGAGGAGGAGGCAUGAAGCUGUGCAGUGCCUCUUCAAUCUCACUGUCUUGGAGACUUUGGAGCCGAUAAAUGUAAGCUAUAGUUUAUCACUCUACUCUGGUGAGAUCGUGAAUGCAGAAGUAAGCCGAAAGCUACGCUGGGAUAGAGAGAGUUCUAAGUUGUUCGCACAGAAGAAAGACCGUGCUGGCGGACAGAAAAGUCUUAUUGAAUAUGCAACAUAUUUCUCUAAGGUAAUAGCCGAGGGAGUGUUAUGGGAGAAAGAAGAUCAAAUAUGCGCACUCUCUGAGCUGAUUAAGUUGGCUUUCCUG